UACGGGGGGGGCAAGCGUUGUUCGGAAUUACUGGGCGUAAAGGGCCAGUAGGCGGCCAACUAAGUCGGAUGUGAAAUCCCCAGGCUCAACCUGGGAACUGCAUCCGAUACUGGAUGGCUUGAAUUCGGGAGAGGGAUGCAGAAUUCCAGGUGUAGCGGUGAAAUGCGUAGAUAUCUGGAGGAAUACCGGUGGCGAAGGCGGCAUCCUGGACCGGCAUUGACGCUGAGGAGCGAAAGCCAGGGGAGCAAACGGG
rnacentral:rRNA from 1 species